GGGGUUGUGGCUUAGUGGUAGAGUGCUCACCUUGUAUGUGGAAAGUACUGGGUUUGAUCCUCAGCACCA
rnacentral:tRNA from 1 species